UCUCUCUAAUAAAUUUCAAUUUUAAAAUCAUUUUAGAGAAAGAAAAACCCUUAAAAUGCACAAUUUUUUACCUCUAACGUCAAGGCGUUGUUGUCUUUAGGCACUAGCGUCCAGAAUCCCUAAUUCUCUUGUCCAAACACCCCUCUAUCUCUCUCUGUGUAUCCACAAAACCUAAUAUUGAUCAUUCCCACCAUCCCUUCCUCCUCUGCAACAUUUCUUUAAUGCUCUAAUAUUCCAUACUGGCAAGCGCGCUUCUAAUAUUACUAUUUUGAUUCGCCGACACCUAACCAUUACACCGGAUUGAAGAGAUUUCGCCUAGGGUUUUGAUAAUCUGACCCUUUUGCAUUUUUUAUCUCCAAUUUAGUGUCUCUUUUAGGGUUUUUUAAUAUUUGAUUUCUAGGGUUUUCAUUUUUGUUCAUAGUUUAUAGAUUUCAUUCAUUGCUUUUAUACCAUCUCCAUCUUCUUACCGGAUACUUCUAAAUUUUUGGAAAUUGAAGUUCCUUCCCUGAAAGGUUUCUGUACUUUUGUACUUUACAUAUCUGUUUUUGACCAGACCCAAAAUUUUGACCGAAAUUACACUACUUACCAUUUGCUUUCUAAUCGGAAAGUUUCUUUCUUAGGAAACGGAUUCACCUGAUAAUCACAAUCUGGAAAUUAAUGCAGUAGUAAAUAUUUGUAUAAUCCUUUUGGCUUUAUGUUGUUGUAUUGUACCUGCUUUCAUGUUUUUAUUAUAAGUGCUCUUACUUUUUUUUGAGAUAGGAGUUGGUUUUGGGUAUUAGUUAUUGACUAGCGUGUAAGAGAAGGGGGUAAAGGGUCUAGGAUUGCAUGGGCGAGCAUGAGAGGCUAUUGCCAAACGGCCUAUUGCCUAAUGAAGCGGCCUCUGUGAUCCGAGUACUUGACUCGGAACGAUGGUUGAAGGCGGAAGAGAGAACUGCAGAGCUCAUUUCCUGCAUUCAGCCAAACGAGCCCUCAGAAGAGCGCAGAAAUGCUGUUGCAGAUUAUGUGCAGCGGCUCAUCAAGAAGUGCUUUCACUGCGAGGUGUUCACCUUUGGGUCUGUACCCCUUAAGACUUAUUUGCCUGAUGGGGACAUUGACUUAACAGCUUUCAGUAAGAAUCAAAAUUUGAAAGAAACAUGGGCUCAUCAGGUUCGUGAUACGCUGGAGAAAGAAGAGAAGAAUGAGAAUGCUGAAUUCCGUGUGAAAGAGGUUCAGUACAUCCAGGCAGAAGUGAAGAUAAUAAAAUGUCUUGUGGAAAAUAUUGUAGUAGACAUAUCGUUUAAUCAGCUUGGUGGGCUAUGCACUCUUUGUUUCCUCGAGGAGGUUGACCAUUUGAUAAAUCAAAAUCAUUUAUUCAAGAAGAGCAUUAUAUUGAUAAAGGCUUGGUGUUAUUAUGAAAGUCGUAUUUUGGGUGCUCACCAUGGAUUGAUUUCGACUUAUGCUCUGGAAACCUUAGUUCUCUACAUAUUUCAUGUUUUCAACAAUUCCUUUGCUGGACCUCUUGAGGUCCUGUACCGUUUUCUUGAGUUCUUCAGUAAGUUUGAUUGGGACAAUUUUUGUGUUAGCCUCUGGGGUCCUGUACCCAUCCAUUCACUUCCAGAAGUGACAGCGGAACCACCUCGAAAGGAUGGUGGAGAAUUACUGCUUAGCAAAUUAUUUCUUGAGGCCUGCAGUGCAGUAUAUGCUGUUUAUCCUGGUGGCCUGGAAAAUCAAGGGCAACCUUUCAUGUCAAAGCACUUCAAUGUUAUAGAUCCUUUGCGUGUAAACAACAACCUUGGACGUAGUGUUAGUAAAGGUAAUUUCUUUAGGAUACGUAGUGCAUUUGCAUUUGGCGCUAAAAGGCUUGCAAGGUUACUUGAUUGCCCAAAGGAAGACAUAUUUUUUGAAGUAAAUCAGUUCUUUUUGAACACCUGGGACAGACAUGGUACUGGUCAGCGUCCUGAUGCACCAAGGAAUGAUUUGUGGCGCUUGAGAUUGUCAACUCCUGACCUCUCUCAUGGGUCUGAUAAUAUCAGGAACAAUUCAAACAGCAAAAUUUCUGGCCAUGAAGCUCAAGUUGAUGGGGCACACAGGUCGCGUGGUGCUCCCUCUCAGCAUGGUAAUCAUCUCUUAGAAAGCUCAUCCAGAAGUACUGAAGUUUCUGUAGUUUCUCGUAGUCAAAGUCAAAAGUCUUAUAUUAACCCAAACAACACAAGGACAACUGAUCAAUCUAGAAGGGGAAGCAGUUAUAAUCAUGGUGUACAAGGCCCACAUGCAGAGAAAAACCAAAGAAGUUCUAAACCUGAUAACUUGGUUGGUGAUAUUCAGGGAAGAUAUCUUUUUGCAAGGACGCGCUCUAGUCCCGAGCUCACAGAGACUUAUGGUGAAGUUUCUUCACAAGUAAAGCGUAACAGAGCCCAAGAAACUGGAAAAGGCCAGAUCUCCUCGGCUAGGCUAGAUAACAGCAGGUGGAAGAACCUGGAAUCUGAUAAUUUGGGAAGCCAUGAUAAUCGAUCUUUAACUGAUGAUCCUUCAUCCAUUAGACAUGCCUCAUCUCGUCAGAGCCUUGAUGUUGUUGCAGAUUCAAACAGUUACCAUGAUGAGUCAGGCAUGGGUGUUGCUGGUGAAGAAUUUGCAUCUGGCCUUGGGACUCAGGGGAUGCAUCAGGAAGAACAAGAUUUUGUGAACAUAAUGGCAUCUUCUUCAGGUCUUGGUUUUAAUGGACCGGUUCAUCUUCCACUGAAUUUGGCAUCAAGUCACAUCCCUCUUUCAAUCUCACCUUCUGUUAUAGCUUCAAUGGGGUAUGGCCCACAAAGAAAUUUGGGUGGAAUGGUACCCACAAAUAUUCCCAUGAUGGAUCAUCCUUGGGGCACAAAUAUGCAACUUCCUCAGGGCUUAGUUUCUUCACCACUGACCCAUUAUUUUCCUGGCAUAGGAUUGUCUUCAAAUACUGAUGAUUCAGUCGAACCUGGUAAUGAGAAUUUUGGUUCCAUAGAAAUGAACCCAGCAGAGGCUGAUCAUGAUUUCUGGCAUGAGCCAGAUAGGGGCUCCACCAGUGGAUUUGAUCUGGACAAUGGAAGCUUUGAAAUUCAUCAGUUGGAUGAUAACCAGCAGUCCACUUCAGCUAGUUAUAACUUUGUUCCUUCAUCUCGAAUGAGUGCCUCUGUUAUCUCUUCAAGAGUUCAGCAGAAGUCUAGUAAAGACACUCGAGGAUCAAUGAGGGAAGAUCAUGUAGAUACUUCCCCUUAUCAAGAAAACAAAGGUACUGAAGUUUAUUUUGAUGACAGAAUUGCUGGUUCAAGGUCCUUCCCUACUGUGAAUACUAGCUCUUUGAGAAGCAAAACCUCUUCUGAGAGUUCGUGGGAUGGAUCACCUGCUAAGGCAUCAAAAUCGACAAGGGAAAAAAGAAAUAGGAAAGCAACAGCUUCCACAGUGCCAUCUGCUGGUUAUGGGAAAGGUAAGAAUGUCUCUGAACAUCCGUCAAAUCAGGCAGAAGAUGAGAACAAAGAGUGGAAUCCAGUAUCCGCCAUGGGGCCUGAAAUGACAGAAAGAAGCGUAGGACCUCAUUCUGCUGCUGUGCAUGUUCCAAGGCAUCAAAUUCCUGGAUAUGAAACAGCACAGACAAGUGUAUCUGAGUCAUUGAUACCUAUUGCUCCAAUGAUCUUAGGUUCUGGUUCAAGACAAAGACCUGCUGAUAAUUCGGGGGUUCUUCCUUUUACAUUUUAUGCUACAGGGCCACCAGUUCCAUUUUUUACUAUGGUUCCAGUUUACAACUUUCCUACUGAGACAGGAGCUUCUGAUGCAUCAACAAGCCAAUUUAAUGUAGAGGAAGUUGUAGAUAACAGUGAUUCUGGUCAGAAUUUUGAUUCUUCUGACGGACUUGAUCAAUCUGAGGUGUUAAGUACUUCUGAUUCUAUGAGAAGGGUUGCUUCAGUUGAGCCGUUGGAGCACAAAUCUGACAUUCUUAAUAGUGAUUUUGCCAGCCACUGGCAAAACUUGCAAUAUGGACGUUUUUGCCAAAACUCACGGUAUCCUGGAACUUUAGCUUAUUCUUCGCCUCUUGUGGUGCCACCUGUAUAUUUACAGGGCCGUUUUCCAUGGGAUGGUCCUGGUAGACCUCUUUCAAACAAUAUGAAUCUUUUCACUCAGCUUAUGAGUUAUGGACCACGUCUUGUUCCUGUUGCUCCUCUACAAUCGAUUUCUAAUAGACCUGGGGUUGGUUACCAACAUUAUGUUGAUGAACUGCCAAGAUAUCGUAGUGGGACUGGUACCUACCUGCCAAAUCCAAAGGUAUUGGUUCGAGACCGGCAUUCUACAACUAGCAGAAAGGGAAAUUACAGUUAUGAUAGAAGUGACCACCAUGGUGAUAGGGAGGGGAAUUGGAAUGUGAAUUCAAAGCCUCGAGCUGCUGGGCGUAGCCACAAUCGUAACCAGGCUGAGAAGUCAAGCUCAAGGCAUGAUCGGUUGGCAGCAAAUGAGAGUCGAACUGAUAGGACAUGGGGCUCACAUAGACAUGAUAAUUUCCCUUCAUACCAGUCUCAGAACAGUCCAAUCCGUUCUAGCCCUUCACAGAGUGGUCCUGCCAAUUUGGCAUAUGGCAUGUACCCACUACAAUCCAUGAGUCCCAGUGGAGUUUCAUCAAAUGGUUCUACCUUUCCACCUGUCCUAAUGCUAUAUCCUUAUGAUCAUACUGCUGGUUUUGGUUCUCCUGCAGAACAGCUUGAGUUUGGAUCUCUUGGGCCUGUGGGUUUCUCAGGUGUAAAUGAGGUACCACAUCUAAAUGAGGCAACUCGAUCAAGUGGGGCAUUUGAGGACCAAAGAUUUCACCAUAGCUCUGCCCAACGAUCUUCACCAGAUCAGCCUUCUUCGCCUCAUCUUCAGAGGUAGUCAUCAUUCUGUUUGUUAAGUGCAAGGUUUCUGAGUGGCAGGGGGCGAAGUUGCUUAUGGAUAAGUGGCAGUGUUUUAGAAUUAUAGUACUGAGGGGCAUUUGAUUUUAUUGCCAGAUCAGUGGCUCAAAGGAAUUAUCAGUUGAAAGACGAGGAUUUCCCACCUCUUGCAUUUCUGAACCAAGCAGUAAAUGAUGGGAGAAACUAUGACGAGAAACCACCUAAUUCCUACGAGGCCCUCGUGGUCUCACCUCAUUCAUAAAAUGGGAUAACUUGUGGGACACCUCGUACUUGUUAGAUGGCCUCUGGUUCUGCUGGCUUCGGCUUGUUUGUACACUAUAUAAAUCAUCUUCUAACCUGCCCUUUUUACGUGGAUGUAGCAGAUUGGAGGUAAAGGGGGUGGACGCAGGACUCGGUUUUUAGUUUUUAAUUAGGGCUCAAACACAUUGUAACUCCACUGAUGUAGAAGCUUGCAGGUUUAGAAUCUAGGAUUUUACAAUGUUAUAAGUUUCUUUUCAGGAUUUUGUUACCCACGGUCAAGCUGUAUUACUGAUUUUGAUGCACAAGCUCAAUCGAGAGCUGCUUUUAUAUACUCUUGCUUAAAAGUUAAAAAGGUCAACAUUGUAGCAGUGCGCUCGCCAAAGAUAGAUGGAAAAAGAUUUUUCUGGUUUCAUUCAUA